UCCUUCUCAGUGGUGUGGAUGAUAAUAAU
rnacentral:piRNA from 1 species